rnacentral:rRNA from 1 species
CCAAUAGCGUAUAUUAAAGUUGUUGCAGUUAAAAAGCUCGUAGUUGAAUUUCGAGAUCAGUACGCUGGUCGUGCCUUCGGUAUGCACUGGUGUCACUGGUUUCUCCCUUCUGAAGAACCGUCAUGUCAUUAAGUUGGUGUGGCGGGGAAUCAGGACUGUUACUUUGAAAAAAUUAGAGUGUUUAAAGCAGGCUCGCGCUUGAAUACAUUAGCAUGGAAUAAUGAAAUAGGACGUUUGACCCUAUUUUGUUGGUUUCUAGGAUCGACGUAAUGAUUAAUAGGGAUAGUUGGGGGCAUUAGUAUUCAAUUGUCAGAGGUGAAAUUCUUGGAUUUAUUGAAGACUAACUACUGCGAAAGCAUUUGCCAAGGAUGUUUUCAUUAAUCAAGAACGAAAGUUAGGGGAUCGAAGACGAUCAGAUACCGUCGUAGUCUUAACCAUAAACUAUGCCGACUAGGGAUCGGAUGAUGUUAAUUUUUUUAAUGACUCAUUCGGCGCCUUACG